GGGCCUAUAGCUCAGUUGGUAAGAGCGCACGCCUGAUAAGCGUGAGGUCAGUGGUUCAAAUCCACUUAGGCCCACUA
rnacentral:tRNA from 1 species